UUUUGAUGCAGUGGUAUAUUUUGAAAGGAAUAACAAUACCACAAUGUACAAUUGUUAUGGGUGAAUUAGCUGAAAUUAUGACCAAGGAUUUACUCAAUAAUGGAUGGUGAAAAUAAGAACAAGGAUAUUCUCAAUAAUAGAUGACAACAUACUGUUAAAAACAGAUAGGCCAAAACAAAGCUAACUCAAGUUUUCAACUGGUGCAAGCUGGGCUAACCGUGAUUUACUCUUCUGACCGGUGACAGGUUCCAUCGUUCUCCCACCUCCAACAACCGGAGAUUUUGGUUUAUCCGACAUAUUUUUCACUUUUUGUCCAUCAAAUGAAAAUGUCCUAUAUUUUAUUCAGUCGUUUCGAUAACUUGUAACUUUCAUGGAAAUAUAUUAACACAUGAGACCAAUAUAAACAUUACUUCUCAAUCGAAUCGUGUCGAAUCGCUUCACUGGACGCCAUCUUGUUUACAGGUAACCAUGUGUACCUUGAGGGCGCCCUUUACAAACAAGAGCACAAGUGACAACGAUUUCUGAUUUUGCAGGUGCCCGUUUGUGUGGAUUUUGAAAAUUAUGCUUUCACGGAUGUGGAAAAAAAAAAUUAGAUCUGAAACCAAGAAAAGAAAAGGAUCAGAAUCGACCCGAAAUCAUUAGAAUAAAAAAUGUUUUCGCCUUUAAUUUGUUUCUCUCAAAUUUUCUAUUUGGAAAUUGAAAAAGAAUAUAUAUAAAUAUUUUCAGGAUACAAAUUAAAAAAAAAAUGAUUAGAAAAAUAGCGAAAAUUAAGAUAAAGAAAAGGAUAGCACCACCUUCUUUAUUAUUAUAAGGCAUAGCAAACCAGAUACUUUCAAAUAUAACUGUAUUUACCAUGUUUAUGUCUCUGUGCAAAUAAAAAUUUAAAGUGGUCAAUUAUUA